UGGCGACCGGCGCACGGGUGAGUAACACGUAUCUAACCUGCCGAUGACUCGGGGAUAGCCUUUCGAAAGAAAGAUUAAUACCCGAUGGCAUAGUUCUUCCGCAUGGUGGAACUAUUAAAGAAUUUCGGUCAUCGAUGGGGAUGCGUUCCAUUAGGUUGUUGGCGGGGUAACGGCCCACCAAGCCUUCGAUGGAUAGGGGUUCUGAGAGGAAGGUCCCCCACAUUGGAACUGAGACACGGUCCAAACUCCUACGGGAGGCAGCAUG
rnacentral:rRNA from 1 species